rnacentral:rRNA from 1 species
AUUGAACGCUGGCGGCAGGCCUAACACAUGCAAGUCGAACGAGUGGCGGACGGGUGAGUAAUGUCUGGGAAACUGCCCGAUGGAGGGGGAUAACUACUGGAAACGGUAGCUAAUACCGCAUACCAUCGGAUGUGCCCAGAUGGGAUUAGCUAUUAGGUGGGGUAAAGGCUCCCCGAGGCGACACUCCCUUGCUGGUCUGAUAGGAUGAACAGCCACACUGGAACUGAGACACGGUCCAGACUCCUACGGGCGGCAGCAGUGGGGAAUAUUGCACAAUGGGCGCAAGCCUGAUGCAGCCAGGCCGCGUGGAUGAAGAAGGCCUUCGGGUUGUAAAGUACUUUCAGCGGGGAGGCGUUACCCGCAGAAGAAGCACCGGCUAACUCCGUGCCAGCAGCCGCGGUAAUAC